CUUCACCGACCCGAGCCAGAGCGGCCGGUCCUCCGGCCGGUCCUGGCCGUAGGUCGCCAGCAGCGCCUGCGCCUC
rfam:Planomonospora sphaerica DNA, contig: NODE_33_L10569_C31.